rnacentral:rRNA from 1 species
GAUGAACGCUGGCGGCGUGCUUAACACAUGCAAGUCGAACGGAAAGGCUCCUGCUUUGAGGGGUACUCGAGUGGCGAACGGGUGAGUAACACGUGGGUGAUCUGCCCUUCACUUCGGGAUAAGUCUGGGAAACUGGGGCUAAUACCGGAUAGGAGGAUGUGUUGCAUGGCAGGGGGGGAAGUGUUUCGGUGGGGGAUGAUCUCGCGGCCUAUCAGCUUGUUGGUGGGGUAGUGGCCUACCAAGGCGUCGACGGGUAGCCGGCCUGAGAGGGUGGUCGGCCACAUUGGGACUGAGAUACGGCCCAGACUCCUACGGGAGGCAGCAGUGGGGAAUAUUGCACAAUGGGCGGAAGCCUGAUGCAGCAACGCCGCGUGCGGGAUGACGGCCUUCGGGUUGUAAACCCCUUUCGCCUGGGACGAAGCGUGAGUGACGGUAAUUGGUGAAGAAGCACCGGCUAACUACGUG